rnacentral:rRNA from 1 species
CUGCGUGCCGGCGUUAACACAAUAAGUAUCCCACCUGGGGAGUACGAUCGCAAGGUUGAAACUCAAAGGAAUUGACGGGGGCCCGCACAAGCGGUGGAUUAUGUGGUUUAAUUCGAAGCAACGCGAAGAACCUUACCAGGGUUUGACAUCCCGCUAACGAGGCAGAGAUGCGUUAGGUGCCCUUCGGGGAAAGCGGAGACAGGUGGUGCAUGGUUGUCGUCAGCUCGUGUCGUGAGAUGUUGGGUUAAGUCCCGCAACGAGCGCAACCCCUAUUGUUAGUUGCUACGCAAGAGCACUCUAGCGAGACUGCCGUUGACAAAACGGAGGAAGGUGGGGACGACGUCAAAUCAUCAUGCCCCUUAUAUCCUGGGCUACACACGUAAUACAAUGGCGGUCAACAGAGGGAGGCAAAGCCGCGAGGCAGAGCGAACCCCAAAAAGCCGUCCCAGUUCGGAUCGCAGGCUGCAACCCGCCUGCGUGAAGUCGGAAUCGCUAGUAAUCGCGGAUCAGCAUGUCGCGGUGAAUACGUUCCCGGGCCUUGUACACACCGCCCGUCACACCAUGAGGGUCGGGAACACCCGAAGUCAGCGGCUUAACCAGAGAUGGAGAGAGCUGCCGAAGGCGGGGCUGAUGACUGGGGUG